ACCUCAAAUAUAAAGGAAAUACCUUUUUUUUA
rnacentral:tRNA from 2 species